CCUACGGGAGGCAGCAGUGGGGGAUAUUGCACAAUGGGGGAAACCCUGAUGCAGCGACGCCGCGUGAGUGAAGAAGUAUUUCGGUAUGUAAAGCUCUAUCAGCAGGGAAGAAAAAAGACGGUACCUGACUAAGAAGCCCCGGCUAACUACGUGCCAGCAGCCGCGGUAAUACGUAGGGGGCAAGCGUUAUCCGGAUUUACUGGGGGGAAAGGGAGCGUAGACGGCAAUACAAGUCGGAAGUGAAAUACCCGGUCUCAACCUGGGAACUGCUUUGGAAACUGUAUGGCUGGAGUGCUGGAGAGGUAAGCGGAAUUCCUAGUGUAGCGGUGAAAUGCGUAGAUAUUAGGAGGAACACCAGUGGCGAAGGCGGCUUACUGGACAGUAACUGACGUUGAGGCUCGAAAGCGUGGGGAGCAAACAGGAUUAGAUACCCUUGUAGUC
rnacentral:rRNA from 1 species